AAGUUUGUGAAAUUGUCACUAAACUGGAGAAACAAAAACUGCCUGACAUUGAAACUUGUGACUGGUUAUGUGUUUCACCUACAACUUCUCAAGGAAGAAGAAGAUGAAUUUGACCAGUGGCUGAGGAUAAUCAAAUUACUGCAUUUUAAUCGUCUGGCAUCUCAGAAGCCAUCCUUUUCUGGUGUUAGUACAAAGGAUGAGGAUGCCAAGAAUGAAGUCAAGAUAGAGACUGUGCACAUCCAGAUUGACAAUGAUUCAUCAAACGAGAGACAUGAAAACAUACAAAGCCUUCUAUCUGAGGCUAAUAUCUACAAUUUCAGCUAUGACGACAUAGUAGAGAAAUACUCUCCAGAGACUCCAUAUGAUUAUCUCCAAACUGUGGAACAACCUAAUACAAGCCGUUCUGAAGAAGUCGUGCCUGGUGAAGAAGGGUUUUGUUUUUACUAUUACCCAUCAGUAAGAAAACAAAAAAGAAGAAAGCUAAAAGUGUUGGUGGUGUGAGAUCUGACAAAGAAGAUGCAUUGCAUGAAAUGAAGCUUGUGAAAGAGCUGUACACUAUUCAAGAUUAUAAAGAAGUAAACAGAACUUGGAGAUUGCUGAAGAGCAGUAAAAUUUUAUAUUGGCAUAGAAUGAAUAUAGAAUUGCCACCUUUUUGAAAAUUUUGUAGUGAAAUAUAAGAUUUUGUGGAACAAACCAUACCUACAACUACUACAAAGUACUGAGCUUCAUCUUUUUUGUCAAAAUAAAAGCUUGCUCUUGUACAA